GGCUCAGAGCGAACGCUGGCGGCAGGCUUAACACAUGCAAGUCGAGCGGGCGUAGCAAUACGUCAGCGGCAGACGGGUGAGUAACGCGUGGGAACAUACCUUUUGGUUCGGAACAACACAGGGAAACUUGUGCUAAUACCGGAUAAGCCCUUACGGGGAAAGAUUUAUCGCCGAAAGAUUGGCCCGCGUCUGAUUAGCUAGUUGGUGAGGUAAUGGCUCACCAAGGCGACGAUCAGUAGCUGGUCUGAGAGGAUGAUCAGCCACAUUGGGACUGAGACACGGCCCAAACUCCUACGGGAGGCAGCAGUGGGGAAUAUUGGACAAUGGGGGCAACCCUGAUCCAGCCAUGCCGCGUGAGUGAUGAAGGCCCUAGGGUUGUAAAGCUCUUUUGUGCGGGAAGAUAAUGA
rnacentral:rRNA from 1 species